AGGUCAAGCGACAAAGAGCGCAGGGUGGAUGCCUUGGCACUAAGAGCCGAUGAAAGACGUGAUAAGCUGCGAAAAGCUUCGGGGAGGAGCAAAUAUCCAUAGAUCCGGAGAUAUCUGAAUGGGGAAACCCGGCUGGACAGACUCCAGUCAUCCAUACGCCAAUCCAUAACGUAUGGAAGGGAACCCGGGGAACUGAAACAUCUAAGUACCCGGAGGAAAAGAAAGAAAACUCGAUUUCCAAAGUAGCGGCGAGCGAAAUGGAAAGAGCCUAAACCAGGAUGCGUGCAUCCUGGGGUUACGGACUGCAGAAAGUGACUUUAAGGUUAAUGGAACGGCUUUGGGAAAGCCGGCCAGAGAGGGUGAAAGCCCCGUACAUGAAAGCCGAGAAGAGCGAGCAGGAUCCAAAGUACCACGAGACACGAGAAACCUUGUGGGAAGUCGGGGGGACCACCCCCCAAGGCUAAAUACUCCUUAGUGACCGAUAGCGCAUAGUACUGUGAAGGAAAGGUGAAAAGAACCCCGGGAGGGGAGUGAAAGAGAACCUGAAACCCUGUGUUUACAAGCUGUGGAACACCCAUAAGAGGUGAACCGCGUACUUUUUGUAGAACGGUCCGGCGAGUUACGCUGGCUGGCAAGGUUAAGCACCAAAGGUGCGGAGCCGAAGGGAAACCAAGUCUUAACAGGGCCAGAGUCAGUCAGAGUAGACCCGAAACCGGGUGAUCUAUCCAUGUCCAGGUUGAAGCUGCCGUAAGAGGUAGUGGAGGACCGAACGCACAUCCGUUGAAAAGGGUGGCGAUGAGGUGUGGAUAGGGGAGAAAUUCCAAUCGAACCCGGAGAUAGCUGGUUCUCCUCGAAAUAGCUUUAGGGCUAGCCUCGAUAAAGAUUUGCGGAGGUAGAGCACUGAAUUUCCUAGGGGGCGUCAAAGCUUACCGAAGAAUAUCAAACUCCGAAUGCCGUGUAAUUGAUUAUCGGGAGUCAGACUGCACGAGAUAAGUUGGGCAGUCGAAAGGGAAAGAGCCCAGACCUCCAGCUAAGGUCCCAAAGUGCGUGUUAAGUGGAAAAGGAUGUGGGAUUUCGAAGACAACUAGGAUGUUGGCUCAGAAGCAGCCAUGCAUUCAAAGAGUGCGUAAUAGCUCACUAGUCGAGAGGUCCUGCGCCGAAAAUGUCCGGGGCUGAAACACGACACCGAAGCUGAGGAAUCACGCAAGUGAUUGGUAGAGGAGCAUUGUUAACGCGAAGAAGCGGUACCGUAAGGAGCCGUGGAGUGUUAAGAAGAGAGAAUGCCGGAAUGAGUAGCGAGAAAAAGGUGAGAAUCCUUUUGGCCGAAUAUCUAAGGUUUCCAGAGUAAAGCUGAUCUGCUCUGGGUAAGUCGGGGCCUAAGGCGAGGGCGAAAGCCGUAGCCGAUGGACAACAGGUUGAGAUUCCUGUACUGCAAUAUAACAGAACUGUGGGGACACGGAAGGAAAGUGGGAGCCGGAAACGGAAAAUCCGGUGCAAGCGAGGUAGGAGUUCAGUAGGCAAAUCCGCUGAACAAUCCGAAGGCGUGAUGCGGACCGAACUAAAGUAGGGAAGCCCAUGAGCCGGCCGUCAAGAAAAGCCGCUAUUGUUUAUAUUGUACCCGUACCGUAAACCGACACAGGUGGAUGAGGAGAGAAUCCUAAGGCCGACGGAAGAAGCAUUGUUAAGGAACUCGGCAAAAUGACCCCGUAACUUCGGGAGAAGGGGUGCCGCCGAAAGGCGGCCGCAGAGAAUAGGCUCAAGCAACUGUUUAGCAAAAACACAGGUCUAUGCAAAACCGAAAGGUGAGGUAUAUGGGCUGACGCCUGCCCGGUGCUGGAAGGUUAAGGGGAGAGGUUAGACGCAAGUCGAAGCUUUGAACUUAAGCCCCAGUAAACGGCGGCCGUAACUAUAACGGUCCUAAGGUAGCGAAAUUCCUUGUCGGGUAAGUUCCGACCCGCACGAAAGGCGUAAUGAUUUGAGCACUGUCUCGACAAUGCAUCCGGUGAAAUUGAAGUACCAGUGAAGAUGCUGGUUACCUGCGCCAGGACGGAAAGACCCCAUGGAGCUUUACUCCAGCUUGAUACUGGGAUUCGGUAUUGCAUGUACAGGAUAGGUGGGAGACGAAGAAGUGGUGACGCCAGUUGCCAUGGAGUCAAUGUUGGGAUACCACCCUUGCAGUAUUGGGUUUCUAACCAACCGCCGUGACCCGGCGGUGGGACAAUGUCAGGCGGGGAGUUUGACUGGGGCGGUCGCCUCCGAAAGGGUAUCGGAGGCGCUCAAAGG
rnacentral:rRNA from 1 species